CUUUCUUUCCUUCCUUCCUGAAAAAGGCAAGUGCGCGCUCUGUGCGUAAAAGGCGCCAUGGAGCCAAAGCGGCGCCUCUUUUCUCCUUGUUUGCUCGGCUUCUUCCAGGCGAAUUGAGGAGGGAGGGUUGCAGACUUGCAGUCCUUUCGAGGAGGCUCCUCUGCGCAUUGUUACGCCUUCCUUUCCUCCACUGAGGAAAGAGUAAGGGAGGGAAGACAAACCAAGCAGCACUGGCACUUGGGCGGCUGUGCGUAAUGCCAGGGCGCAGAGGGAGAAGGAGAUGGAGGCGCAGGGCAUCCAGUUUCCUCUUUGGCCUAGUAGUUUCUCAGCCAGGAGGAGGAGGAGAGGAGGAGCUGCUACUUCUUCUUCCUACUACUACAAGGAAGCCUUGCUGGUUGACCCAGAAACAUUCAGUAUCUCAAAUAAUGCUCAACCAUGGAUUUAAUUGGUAGAUUUGUACAAGCCCUGUCUUCACAGGAGGUCUGAAUAAGGUGCUGAGCUGUGGAUGGAGCCAAGCUGCUGCAGAAGACCAGGUGAAUCUUCAAAUAUGACAUUUUACAAACCCUUACACAGAAAGUUGGUUCAGCAUAACGUCCCAGCUAGGAUGUGUAAGAUGUUGUACUUUCAUAAGCAAUUAUCUCAUGCAAAAUGCACUAAAUUGUUUAGAUUGUAAUCCUCUGUGUGUGUAUAUGUGAGAGAGACGCCUCACAUGCACAUGUAAGUAGGGAAUAAGUACCAUUGAACACAGGAGGUAUUAUGUCUGACUAAACACACAUUUGUUUGGGCUGUAUACUGUUUGAGUUCCAAGUCACAGGGCAAAUAAAGAGGCUUUCUAAUGCCUGCACCACCACUGCAAAACUUUCCUUUGAACGUGUGUUCUUCACAAUUAACUUGUAAAGCAGUUUUCAGAAACCAGAGCUGCUGAGUGGAGCACCACCAUGUGGAGAAGGUUUUUGAGAGAUCUUAAUUCUGAACACCCUUACAAUAUAAAGGCAUAGUAGUAGGUCAUUAUAAAUUAACACACCUUUUAAAAUCAAGGCCACUUGAUAGAAAAGCAAUUUGAAAAGAUAAAGAAAUGGUUUGUAGUUUGAUCUUACCCAGUAUCUGUGUGACAACAGAUUAUUAAAUAGCUACAAAUACAAGAGUUCCUUGCCUGUCAUAUCUUAACCUCGUUUUAUAUUAAUUUACAUUUCAUAUUUAGUGACACUUGGCUGAUCACGGGUACGUAUCACUUGGUAUUUCAAAGGUAUGGCUAUCUGCAAGAACUGUCUGUCUCCCAUGUGGAUUACAUGGUUUAGAAAAGCAGUCCACAUACUUAGAUAAUCUCAAAUCUGCCCCUUGCUCACAGAAACACGAAACUGAGGUGGGCAACUGUGGCUCUCCAGAUGUUGGUAGACUGCAGGUCAUGUCUGCUUUAUCUUAGAAUAGUAAUCUAUCUAGACUAGCCAAUGGAGAGACAUUAUGGGAGUUUCAGUCCCAUAAUGUCCCAAUAUCAGAAAGGACCAGAGUUGCACACCUCUGCUCUAAACUGAGCCUGAGUUUUUAGGUUGCAGUAGUUCCCUCACAAUUCCUCUCUCUGCCCCAAGCCCCAUGUAUGGACCAAAGAUUGCUUUUGCAAUAAGAAUAUUUUGCUUCAGAAUAUUUCAUGGGAAUACAUUGUUGAACUAUCAUAUACAAUUGAAUUUAUAGUUGUAAAAUAUCUAUCUUCUGUUCUAAUAAAAAUGUUUGUUACAGAACU